UCCCUGGUGUUCCGGUGGUUAGGACUCUGCGCUUCCAUUGCAGAGGCCGCAGGUUCAAUCCCUGGUUGGGGAA
rnacentral:tRNA from 1 species